ensembl:lncRNA
CUUAGAUCAAGCCAGCCGCAUGACUAAACUGCUCACACCCGAGGGAUUGUUUCUGCGUGUUUGUCUGACUCUGCUGUAGUGAAGGAAACAGGUGCUGAAAAAGGGUCUCGCUAAGUUGUUAAAUUGCUUACCCUGGGCUCAAACUUGUGAUCCUCCUACUUCAGCCUUCCAGGGUGCUGGGAUGACAGCUUGAGGACAAUCCAAGAUGAAGAAAAAUAAGAGCUGACAAAGAAAGAAAAAAACAGUUGUUGGUGCCCUUGCUGAUGAAUUCUAUAAACGACACUCAUGGACACUGAUGAGAAUCUGAUAGUCCUGUGGAGAGCAAAGAGUUGAUCCUGAACCAGGUCAGUGGCCAUAACACACAGGGGAGAACAGAACACCAGUCAGCUGAGCUCUCUGUCUUUCCUAAACUUUUCAUUAUCACAGGCAAGUUCACCUUACAGCUCAACUGGUGUGCAACAAUUUUCUCAUAUGUCAGGUGAAAUGAGAAGUCAAAUGUGCCCUGAAAUCUAAAUGCUAGCUGAUAAAAAUGAAAGUUCUUUAAUGAUGUUUCUCAAAAAAUCACCUACUUACCUCUACAGAUGGGGCAGCAAACACUAGUUAGGUUUACAAAUAGUAACACUUGAAGUGUUUCUAUACAAAAAUCCCCUUAGCUGGAGAACAUGGAGAAAGAUCUUUACUGAGAAGAAAGACUUGCACUUGGGUUUCAUUGUCAAAGUCGGAAGUGGCCAUUGGCACACACAGAGACACAAGGCAGAUUCAUGCAUGCAAUGGAAGAGCACUGAGGACAUUUGAACAAGUGUAAUGAUCAAUGCCAUUAUCAUUCCACAUUGCUGUCAGUAUUGCUGGUUGCUUCAGAUGGGUGUUGAUCUGCAUUAAAAUUUACGCUAUUGGAAGGUCUGGGUAUUUGUGACUUUCCACAUAUAGCCAUUUAUUUUGCUAAAUGCCAGACUCUGUCAUAGUGGAAUUCAUUUCCCCAAACUGCUUGGUCCAUAACUUUCAUUCACUCUGGUCACAUCCUUCAAAAUUUGGGACAAGGACUGACAAGGAUUCAACUUGAGCCAAACCAGUAUAAGUGGUUUUGAUUUUGAAUUAAAAGAGGAAUGGCUUGGAAUGGACAUAAAGGAGGACUUCCGGGUAAACAUCUCUCUCUGAAUUAGGAGCUCAGUGCCCUGCUGAUCUAGGCCAGCACCAGAUCCCAUCUUGUCCAGAGCUACCCUCAGUGUGUGACCCUCAUGUGACUGCUGAGCUUGGGCUGCCCCUGUGUUCACCUCCUGCUGGCUCCUCACAUCCCCUUGUGCACACUUGCCCCCCAUUAACUCCAAAGGCACCAAUUAAUAAUGUAACCCUGGGAAGCAAGAAGGAGAAAGGGUAAGUGCCUCUCAUACAGCCAUGUUCUAUACUCUUUCUCCCCCUCUGCUUUCUCUGGAGUUCCUUUUCUGCCUUUCCAGCUCUGGUGCACUCAUUUCCCAUGCCCAGUUCCCCUCAGGAAAGCAAAGCCAGCUGAGCCACAUUAGACCUGCAGUCUCUGAGGCCAGCCACCUGCCAUUGUGCCUCUAGGGUUGGAGGUGCAGGGUGGGCCCCAGGUGUCCCUAGCACAAGGGGAGUCCCAAGAUAUGAGGUUGAGGUAGGGAUGCCCUGUACCUCUUUCCUGCCCUGAACUCUGCAGCAGAUCAACAGCACCAUGAGGCCCCUCCAUCCAGUGAGGAAACGUCUGUUUAGGCCUCCACUGACCUGAAGGCAGAAGGUGGCCAUGGGGACUCGGUUCCCCCCCCAAAGCCUACAGGGUUUUCUGACUGACUACCACGGAGAGUUAAAUAAAUAACUUUACUGAGAACCCAAGCAUCAGGGGGCAGGACUCUUUCCCUGGAGAUAGAAGUUCUUGUUAAAAUCAAGAACAAAGGGAGCAAGGACAAGCCAAAGCAAUGGCAGCAGUGUAUAAAGAAAAUACUUGGAACGAGAAGACACAGUUCCUGGUUUCAGCUGGCCUCAGAUGGGCUGCACUGGCCUGGAGCAACUCACUCAGUGCUCUGAACCUCUGCUUCUGCUGUAAAAAGGGAGCGGGCCUUCUCACCUCACAGGGUCACUGUGAGGCUAAAUGGAGGCUCUGCGUAGGAUAAGGUAUUAAGGGGAAACGGUUCUGCAGUGAAAUGGACAAGCGGCCUGCGUUCCCCUUCACCUAGGGUACAGUGAGAGCUGUUUUCCCCAGGCAGGCGCUCAUGGUUCCUGACAUGUCGGUACUUGUGGCAUGUUUGCUCGUGUGUCAGGAGAAAGCUCCUUUUAUUAUGAGAUUGGAAAAUCACUGCCCUGAUAAUUAUUGCCCAUUACAGCUAGGAGAAUAGGAGCCCUGGUAGGUCAGAAUUCUCCUUCACAUAGCCCCAAGGGCUGGAAGUUCAGGGACAGAUGAGCAGAGGAGGGCAGAACUGGGCUUGAAUUUGGGGUCCUGGCCCAUCUGCAAGAUUCUCCAAGCAACAGCAUGUUUUCCUGUGGCAGUGUGGCUGUCUGGGUCAUAGCGUCCACUCCCUGCCUCACUCCCUUUCUCCCUUACCUGUGCCACUCUGGUAUUACACCUCCCC